CCUAAAGGUGAGGAGCGCUUCGAUUUGUUCGCGAGAUCAAUGAAGUUAUACGCUCUUGCGUGCGUUUAAGCUCUGGUGGAUAUCCCUCCUCUGCACAGCUGGGGUGGACUUCCAGGAGAUGAAACCAUUACGCAUCUGUGAAUGCUGGCUGUGUCAACUGGUGGAGGGACUGCAUCCACAGAUGACUGUAUGUCCAUGAGAAGAGUUGUCAUAUGGACAGCAUUAUGUCCAGGGGAUUGUCUGUCAGGUCUGCUCUUUCUUCCCCAUGACGUUCAGAGAGAAUACUGUCAAGGUGGAUCUUAUACAGUUUUGGGGAAUUUGAUACUAUGAAUUCUUUAAAAACUGGCUGGCUUACAAGUCUGCCGAUCUGAGCAUUUUUCCAUUUUUUUUCUUAGAGUUUGUAGGAGGUCUUUGAAUGUUGGUUCUGUUAGAGAUAAAUAUAAUUUAGUUUCAAUCAAAAUUGUAGUAUUAUUGCUAUUACAGUGUAUCUUCUACGUAAAAAAGAGCUUCAUAAAGGAUGAGAUUGUUAGUUUACCAUUUAACUUCUCCUGAAUGCGUUUCCGAGUUGAUGCCUCAAGCAUAAUGUCCCCAUCCUGGCCAACUAACAUGUCACCAAACUGUCCUAAUCAACAAUCUUCCAGUAAUCAGGAUUUUGCAGCUGUGACACAGAAAGGAGGGAGCUGUUUGUGGCUUUUUUAUCCUAGUAAACAUUCUUUAUUUCAAAACCACAUGUAGUAUUUUCAUUAUGGUGUAACAUGCUGUAAUUCUAAGAUCUACAUAGUACCAUUGAUUAUUAUACCAAACAAUGUUUACAGUUAAGACUGUACCUCAGAGGUAAAUUGUUGACCAGCUUCAUCUCUUCUGUUUCUUGACAUACCUGUUUCAAUGGUGUUAUAAUGAAGGUGAGAAUAGAGGUACAUGCAAAGAAAAUGGCCCAUUGAAACAGAUAAAUUGUGCCUGUGUAACUGUGGCAGUUCACAUAACACAUUGAGUACAAUCAUACCUCUUGUUUAACAGUGUCUAUCUGACUCUCAGUUACUUUGACAUCACACAUCCGCAACGGUAGUUAUUUUUAGAAACCAGUCAACUGUUGAAAUAGUCUUGUUUAUCAGAAGUUAACGAAAUACAGUUGAUAAUUGUUG
rnacentral:lncRNA from 1 species